rnacentral:lncRNA from 1 species
GGUGACCCUGGGGACAGUGGGAGGUGUCUCUGGGGACAGUGGGGGUGACCCUGCCAUGGCUGGGGUGGGAUGGGACAGGAUUUUUUCCCUUUCCCUUCCUCUGUGGAUGCUUUCAUGGAUAUUUUUAUAAAGUCAGGGAUUUAGGGCAGUGCAAACACAGCAGUCCCCUCCCGUGUUCACACAGAGUUGCUCCCCAAACACCUAAACCUGCCCCACCCAUUUAUGGACCAUCAGGGCCCAGAGUGAAAUAAAAGCUGAAAUUUGGGAAAUUUUUGCCCAGGACCUGUCUGGGCUGGGGUUUUUCUGUUUUCCUGCCCUGCACACAAGGAUCUCUUGGUGCAGACAGCACUUGCUCCCCGUGAAUGGGCAUCAUUCAGAGUCCUCCAUAAAUGAAGCCUCUAUGGCUGUUCUUGCGGGGAAAAUAUAAAGUUGCUCUGUGUCAUUCUGCUGUUAAUUAGCAAAGAUAAAUACAUUUCAGGUGGGAAUUUUCACCAGCACAGCUCGUGGCACAUAAGCAGCAUUAAAGCCUUGGAAAGAGGGCGAGAGGCAAAGGCCCCCGAGAAGGAGAACACUGGAGUCAAUAUUUCAGGAGGAAAAUGUGCAUUUCGAGCUCUUCCCCAGCCUGACUGCAAGCCCUGGACCAGAAAUUCUUCUCCAAGGGGAUCUGGAGGGUGCCUGAGUUCCACAGUAAACACAGCCCUGCUGCCCUCCAGCCUCCAGAAAGCUCCAAGGUUUUACAAAAUGCUCCAAAACUUCUGCCUAUUUCUGGCUGCCUUUGAUGUUCCAGGGAUGGAGGGACCCCCUCCCAACCUCCUGCAUCCCCAUUUCCCACCCUGGCAACACGGAAUGCCAGCAGUGGGGGCAGAACAUCAUCCAACAAAUGAUGCUGGGGAGGCAGGAGUGGCUUGGAAAAUAACCCCUGCACCGAGUCAGGAUCAAAGGAAUUUCUGUUUAUCCAAAGGGCUGGCAAAUAUCCCUGGGGCUGCUGCUGGAAAUAGCAAAAGCUGUUUAUGGCUGGGCCUUGUUUGUGUGUUUUAUGGGUCACACUGAUUUCACAGGGAUCGCUUUUUGUUUGUUUUUGUUUGCUCCCCGUGCCCGCACCUUCCCCUGGGACCGAGCUCCCUCCUGGGCACGGUUCCUGCCUCUCCUGCUGACCUCUGCAGGGCUCUGCUCCUCCAUCCACGCCUGGAAUUCUCCUCCUGUGCAAUUCCUGCCCCUGGGGCUGUUUCUGUGCUGGAAACGGCCGGGGUGGCUCCAGAGCUUUGGGCGAUUUUGGGUGUCACUGCAGGAAAAAAGGUCUGAAGGUGCUGGAGAGCGCCCAAGAAGGGACACGGAGAUG